CAGGUUUAGCAGUGGAAGGGGAGAAGGUUACCUACCGUGUGUGUUCUCACAAAAGCUCUUUCUUUCUCUCCUUGGAUAUCUUCUGAAAUAUCUCCACACCGCAGCUGCUGGCUGGAGGAAGGAAUGUGAUGGAAAGACUGAGGUUAGAGACACUGGUUAAGAAGGCUGCCUGCAGAGGGGUGCAGGUGAGGAAUGGAGCCAGAAGUGAUAAUGGGGAUGGCAAUAAGGGGACAAACCUGAGGCCUGAGUGACGAUGGACUGGAAGGAAGUGGGGGAGAGGCAGGAAGACAAGGAUGAGCCUCAGAUUCCUGAUGUGGGGGUCAGAAUUCCUGAAAAGACUCCAGCUCCAGAUGCAGACUUACGAGAGAGCAGCAGAGAGC